rnacentral:rRNA from 1 species
GAGCGGCGAACGGGCGAGUAACACGUGAGUAACCUGCCCUUGACUUUGGGAUAACUUCAGGAAACUGGGGCUAAUACCGGAUAGGAGCUCCUGCUGCAUGGUGGGGGUUGGAAAGUUUCGGCGGUUGGGGAUGGACUCGCGGCUUAUCAGCUUGUUGGUGGGGUAGUGGCUUACCAAGGCUUUGACGGGUAGCCGGCCUGAGAGGGUGACCGGCCACAUUGGGACUGAGAUACGGCCCAGACUCCUACGGGAGGCAGCAGUGGGGAAUAUUGCACAAUGGGCGGAAGCCUGAUGCAGCAACGCCGCGUGCGGGAUGACGGCCUUCGGGUUGUAAACCGCUUUCGCCUGUGACGAAGCGUGAGUGACGGUAAUGGGUAAAGAAGCACCGGCUAACUACGUGCCAGCAGCCGCGGUGAUACGUAGGGUGCGAGCGUUGUCCGGAUUUAUUGGGCGUAAAGGGCUCGUAGGUGGUUGAUCGCGUCGGAAGUGUAAUCUUGGGGCUUAACCCUGAGCGUGCUUUCGAUACGGGUUGACUUGAGGAAGGUAGGGGAGAAUGGAAUUCCUGGUGGAGCGGUGGAAUGCGCAGAUAUCAGGAGGAACACCAGUGGCGAAGGCGGUUCUCUGGGCCUUUCCUGACGCUGAGGAGCGAAAGCGUGGGGAGCGAACAGGCUUAGAUACCCUGGUAGUCCACGCUGUAAACGGUGGGUACUAGGUGUGGGGUCCAUUCCACGGGUUCCGUGCCGUAGCUAACGCUU